AUGGCGGCGCCGACGACCUUCUCCGGCGAGGUGUGGGCGGAGCUGCGCCUGGCGGACGCGCGCGACGUGCCGCACAUCCACAGCCUCAUCCACCAGAUGGCGGAGUUCGAGCUCCUCACCGACCUCUUCGCCGCCACCCACGAGCUCCUGGCCUCCACGCUCUUCCCCACGCCCCAGCCGGCCCCCUUCACCUCCUUCACCGCCCUCAUCCUCGACCUCUCUCCGUCCCCCGCCCCGGCCUCCGCCGACACCGUCGGCUCCCGCCGCCUCGACCUCUCGGCGUCCCCGCUCGCCGACCCGGAGGCGGCCGCCUUCCCGUCCCCGCGCGGCGGCGGGCGCGUCACGGCCGGGUUCGUCAUCUGCUUUCCCAACUACUCCACCUUCCUCGCCAAGCCCGGGCUGUACGUGGAGGACAUCUUCGUGCGCGCGCCCUGGCGCCGCCGCGGGCUCGGCCGGAUGAUGCUGUCCGCCGUCGCCGGCAGGGCCGCGGAGAUCGGAAUGGGCCGCGUGGAGUGGUGCGUGCUCGACUGGAACCAGAACGCCAUCGACUUCUACGAGGGGAUGGGCGCCGAGGUGUUCAAGCAGUGGCGCAUCUGCCGGCUCACCGGUCCCGCCCUCGACAAGUACAAGGGCACCGGCAGCCAGGAGGAGGAGGACGCCGGCGGGAAGGCCCAGUAG
rnacentral:rRNA from 1 species